rnacentral:lncRNA from 1 species
AAAAUUAAAAGUUAAGAGUUGAAAAGGUCUAACCAAUGGGAUGCAAUCCAACAGACAAGAAUGUCAUAUAGAAAACCCACUUUCCUUUUGGACUUUGAAUCAAGCAAUAAUCAGCAAGCAAUUAGCAAUAUGAAGAGCAAGGCAUCAAUUAAAGAUGGUCACAUCCAAGCAAACAACUCCAUAGCUAACAAUCUUCUUUGUCUUCUCAUAUAUCAGAUGAAAUACUUCUUGAUUUUUGCUUAGAAUAAGGUGUAGCAUGAGACCAAAAUAAUAGUUGC